UACGUAGGCAGCGAGCGUUGUUCGGAGUUACUGGGCGUAAAGGGUGUGUAGGCGGUUUUCUAAGUUUGGUGUGAAAUCUCCCGGCUCAACCGGGAGGGUGCGCCGAGAACUGGGAGACUAGAGUGCGGGAUGGGAGAGUAGAAUUCCUGGUGUAGCGGUGAAAUGCGUAGAUAUCAGGAGGAAUACCGGGGGUGUAGACGGCUCUCUGGACCGCCACUGACGCUGAGACACGAAAGCGUGGGUAGCAAACAGG
rnacentral:rRNA from 1 species